AUGAUUUUCAGUGUAGUAUGUAGUCUGGAACUGCUCCAUAGACAAUGAAUUGGGAAAGACGUUAUAGAUGACACAGAGCACCCAGGGGAAUGUUCACUGAGUACAG